rnacentral:rRNA from 1 species
GAUGAACGCUGGCGGCGCGCCUAAUACAUGCAAGUCGAGCGAACGGACGAGAAGCUUGCUUCUCUGAUGUUAGCGGCGGACGGGUGAGUAACACGUGGAUAACCUACCUAUAAGACUGGGAUAAUUUCGGGAAACCGGAGCUAAUACCGGAUAAUAUUUUGAACCGCAUGGUUCAAAAGUGAAAGACGGUCUUGCUGUCACUUAUAGAUGGAUCCGCGCUGCAUUAGCUAGUUGGUAAGGUAACGGCUUACCAAGGCAACGAUGCAUAGCCGACCUGAGAGGGUGAUCGGCCACACUGGAACUGAGACACGGUCCAGACUCCUACGGGAGGCAGCAGUAGGGAAUCUUCCGCAAUGGGCGAAAGCCUGACGGAGCAACGCCGCGUGAGUGAUGAAGGUCUUCGGAUCGUAAAACUCUGUUAUUAGGGAAGAACAUAUGUGUAAGUAACUGUGCACAUCUUGACGGUACCUAAUCAGAAAGCCACGGCUAACUACGUG